GACAGAGGGUGCAAACGUUGUUCGGAAUUACUGGGCGUAAAGCGCGUGUAGGCGGUUCGUAAAGUCGGAUGUGAAAGCCCUGGGCUUAACCCAGGAAGUGCAUUCGAAACUCACGAACUUGAGUCCCGGAGAGGAAGGCGGAAUUCUCGGUGUAGAGGUGAAAUUCGUAGAUAUCGAGAGGAACAUCUGUGGCGAAGGCGGCCUUCUGGACGGUGACUGACGCUGAGACGCGAAAGCGUGGGGAGCAAACAGGAUUAGAUACCCUGGUAGUCCACGCCGUAAACGAUGGGUGCUAGGUGUCGCGGGCUUUGACUCCUGCGGUGCCGUAGCUAACGCAUUAAGCACCCCGCCUGGGGAGUACGGCCGCAAGGCUAAA
rnacentral:rRNA from 1 species